GACCUGGUGGCGUAACUGGUAACACGCGCAUUUGCAGUCGACUUUUCCUCAUAAUAUUAAAAUGCGAGUCCCUCGUUCGAUUCGAGGUCAGGUUG